GUAACAGAACCAUGACUUGUAGGGUGAGGCAGAGCACAGGAUCUUUAUUUAGGGGAAAAAAAAUUCAGGCAACUGGGUGCAGCUGGAACUGGAGUGACAGGACACAUUGUGGAAAUGCAAAAAGGAAAUAAAAACUGUAACAAAAACCAAAUCGACAGGUAGAUGACAGGUUUUGGGGACAUACAACAGGCUUGUGGGGUCAAUGGGGGUAAGAAGACGUCUGGUCUAGUGAACAGCUGUGACUUCAUUGCUUUAAAGAUUAAUGGAAUAAUUCUCCCAAAAAGGCUACAAUUAAAGUGGUAAACAUCAAAAUGUACAGUAAGAUUUGAGAAUGUUAUCUUAGAGAUAUAACUGGAUUAAAAGAAUCUACACAUUUCAAAAUCAUUAGAAUGCAUAAAUGACUCAAACAGUUCAUUAUUGGAUGUUUGUGCACAAUUGUACAUAAUUAUAUUUAUAUAAAAUGUUAAGCUUUACUUAAAACACCAAAGUAUCUGUAAAAUAGUUUUAUGUAAAAUGAAUGUUUAUUAUUAAGUAGAAAAUAUUUGUGUUAGAAUUUUCCGUGUCAAGGUAAGUGUCAUAAAGGCAGUGGGUGUGGUAAUGGCAGUAUAUCUGCUUUUUGUUACUUAAUGACACAUAUAAUUAAUCAUAAAACUGUCAUUCCAUACAAUUGCGAGACACAGAUGUUGUGUAAUGUUCAGUUCAUUGUCAAUUUCAGUUCCCUGCUGCUUAAAAAAUAUAUACAGAGAACCUGUCACAACAUAUACUCCAAACGAAAAUACUCAUUAUAUCACUCAUUCCAAACAAACAUACCUGUCAAAUGUCACAGCUAGGUGCCACCGGCUCACAAGUUCUUUUAAUUGAUAUAACUUAAAUUACAGUAAAUUAAGGAUUAUCUAUAUUAUUUCUAUUACAUUCAGUGGUUACUUCAUUAGAGACCCCUACAUUGUACCUGGUAGAACAAUAUUUUGCCUACAUAAUCACUGCACAUUCAGACAAGCUUUUCAGCACAUCACAAUCAUGCUAUACUGAGAAUUUAUUUUUGCCCUCGUGUCCGUUCUGGUAGGUUUAAAAAUUCUGACCACCCUUACUGUAGGUGUGGCCAGUAAAGUACUCUCGUGGCCACUUUGAUAAGGAUGCAUAUAGCUAUUAAAGUGGUUGUCUAUAUAUACUAUAUAUACACACACACAUCUGUACCAUAUUAGAUGUCCUGGAUGAAUGACAUGUCAAGGAAUCAUUCUUGAGAGCUCCUCCCAUCCCUGAGAAGAAUAAGUUCAAUACACUUCCUCAUUCAAGCCAGAUAGAAGCUCAUUCUUUUGCUGUGAAAAGAAAUUCACAUUAGUAGGUUCAACACGGAAAUAAAAUGCUGUAUCUAUUCCUGAUAUUGGGAGGUUUCUCCUUAUCAUUGGGACAAGUGCCCACAACAACAUCAACAACGACACCCCCAAUGACAACAACCACAGCGGC